rnacentral:pre_miRNA from 1 species
UCUUCAUUUCACAUGCUCUCUCAUCGGUCAGAGAGGCGAGAUAGUGCGCAAAAUGAAGAGU